rnacentral:ncRNA from 1 species
UUGCAGGCCGGAGCGCUACUCCAUUUCAAUAGCCAUCCGGACCAGAAAAAAGGAGGAAAAUAUUUGCCGCCGGCCGGCGGUGCGGCAGUGUGGAGACCUGCCGUAAUCCUGUCAGGGUUUCGCUCUCUGGCAGGGAGGUACGUGAGCAGAGGCGAGCGUACUACGGCCUGAGCCCAUGUCU